GGCCGUCUUGCGUGCGCUGACGCCGGCUCGCAGGCUCCCGCCCCGCAGUUAUGUCUACCGCUAUGAACUUCGGGACCAAGAGCUUCCAGCCGCGGCCCCCGGACAAGGGCAGCUUCCCGCUGGAUCACUUCGGUGAAUGUAAAAGUUUUAAAGAGAAAUUUAUGAAGUGUCUCCGUGACAAUAAUUUUGAAAAUGCUUUGUGCAGAAAUGAGUCAAAAGAAUACUUAGAAUGCAGAAUGGAGAGGCAACUGAUGGCACAAGAACCACUGGAGAAACUGGGAUUUGGAGAUUUGAUAGAUGGAAAAGCAGAGGCAAAAAAUAAGUUUUGAUGAGAGGAAGACCACCAGGCUGUGCUCGGGGGCUGCUCGGGACAGAGCACACUGCACCACUUCCUGCGCCCCGAAGACCUGCGUGUCUUCCUUAGAAACACUGUCAGGAUGCCCUUGAGACGCUCCACAUGACGUUCAGAACUGCUUGUAAUUACAAAAUAUUGAAGCAACUGAAAUGCCCUCAUAUACACGAGUGCUGUAUAAACUGGCACAUCUGCACUGUGGAGUACCGUGCAGCUACAGGAAAGAAAGAGGGGGAAAAAGAAAGGUUCCAAGAAUUAGGACGUGGGCAUCUUUGGGGACAUUACUCUGCCCUCCACACUUCCCAGAUUGCAAAGAACAUCAGCAGUGAUUCUCAAGCUCGACUGACUCUAAGAGAAGCACCUGAGCAAUAGUAAGUGUCCUGGUGUGUAGGACCCUGAGGCCCACCCGGGACUGCUGCAAUAGUGUGCAAUUCAACCCAUGUGCAUGCCCCAAAGGAAGUCCGAUGACCUCUUUCAGGGGACACAGGUGUUUUAGGGUAACUGGCAGGCUUCUCUUAAUCAUCUGUAGCAAUCAAAUGGAUAGAAUUUUCUUGGCUGAGUUUUA